UUUAGCUUCACAAGACCUCUCCUUCCCCUCUUUCCUGCAAUAGGUUCUGAAGACCUUAGGUGCCCACUGCACAAUCUACCUGCAGUGUUGCUCCCACUUACCUGUGGGCCCGCUAAGGGCAGAAGCUGACGUGGCCCUGGGCAGGGAAAGCCUCAGGAGACUGAAGAUGACAACUGAGAUGACAGUUGAUAUCCUCCUCAAGCAAUGAGAAGCCCAUAACGGACUCCAGAUGUAAAUUACGGCCAAGUCAACAUACAUUUUAGACUGAUGGACAAAAAGUAAGUGAUGAAAGGAGAAGGCAGCAAUAUACCUCCCAAUACACUCAGACGAUUCAACAUCUUUAGUGUGUUAUUGUAUGUCUUCAAGCCAUUUCCAAUUUAUACCAACUCUAAAGUGAACUUAUCAUCGGAUUUUUGUUUUGCAAGAGUUGUUCAGAAGAUUUGCCUUUUCUUCCUCUGAACCUGCAAGAGUUUGACUUGCCCAAUGGGUUUAAGUAAUUUGACUUGCCCAAUGGGUUUAAGAAAUUCACAAUCUCAUGUUGUUCUAACAUAGCCAAUAAAUGUUGCCUCCAGGGUUCUUGGUAAAUCUACCAGCCA